rnacentral:rRNA from 1 species
GACGAACGCUGGCGGCGUGCUUAACACAUGCAAGUCGAACGGAAAGGCCCUGCCUUUGUGGGGUGCUCGAGUGGCGAACGGGUGAGUAACACGUGAGUAACCUGCCCUUGACUUUGGGAUAACUUCAGGAAACUGGGGCUAAUACCGGAUAGGAGCUCCUGCUGCAUGGUGGGGGUUGGAAAGUUUCGGCGGUUGGGGAUGGACUCGCGGCUUAUCAGCUUGUUGGUGGGGUAGUGGCUUACCAAGGCUUUGACGGGUAGCCGGCCUGAGAGGGUGACCGGCCACAUUGGGACUGAGAUACGGCCCAGACUCCUACGGGAGGCAGCAGUGGAGAAUAUUGCACAAUGGGCGGAAGCCUGAUGCAGCAACGCCGCGUGCGGGAUGACGGCCUUCGGGUUGUAAACCGCUUUCGCCUGUGACGAAGCGUGAGUGACGGUAAUGGGUAAAGAAGCACCGGCUAACUACGUG